GAUGUGAAAAAAGGCCAUUUUUCAUAUUCAGCCCCCCACACACACAUCUCUGAACUAAGGUGGCCUGGUUGAAGACGAAGUGUUGAGUUUAUUAACACACUCAGGGUUGCGCCAUGAAGCCUCACCACGGACUCUGCUUCUCUCACCCAACCUGCCAAGAGCCACAGAGCCACAUGGCUGGCUUCCUGAAAACUCACCUGGGAAGUAAGCCACAGGCCUGAUCAGAUCCAGGACUGCUGGAAUCCACGCAAGGGCCAGGGAGGGUAGAAUUGGGUGGCGGGAGGGAACACCGAUGCCCACCUUGCUCUGUUUGACACGUACGUGAAGUGGGGGGGGAGGGACCAUGGCAUCCAUGUGCUGCUGUGAGUAAUAAAGGCGGUACUGGGACUUCCCUGGCCGUCCAGUGGUUAGGACUGCGCUUUCCGUUGCAGGGGGCACGGGUUCCAUCCCUGGUCGGGGAACUAAGAUCCCGCAUGCCACCCGUUGUGGGUGGCCAAAAAAAAAUUUUUUAAUAAAAAAAUAAAGGCAGCACCACCAGGAGCCGCCUCCUGCCUUGGCGAGCACUCCCUGACUCCCUGCAUGAGACCUGUAAUUGCAGUGGCUGCAGGCCCGGGGUCAGGUUCAGGCCAGCACGGGGUUCUGGGAAGGGGCACACCCCCAGUGAGGAGUGAGAUACCCUUGUGGUGCUGCCAGCCCUGCUGGGCCCAUAGACAACGCUGACCAGUAAACCCUACUCCAGGUUCCCCACCAUGCAUCCCAGGGGUGGGAGUUAAAAUUGUCCCUAAUGUGACCAUCUGCCCUGCCCUGGCCUCGGGCUUUGUGCAGGCACCGAACUCAAACACCAGAUAGCAGUGUGUUCUUGAGAGUGAGCUCAGUAGAAGGUUAGGGUUUUAUUCUGGCCUGUUUGGAAGAAAUAAGAAAAACACAUUUAAAUUCCAUCUCAUCCAUUAACAGACACAUGUUUCUGACUGGUGAUCUGUCCAGUUCUUGACCCUUUUUCCAUCCUACGUAACGGGGGAUCGAAAUAGCGAUUGACUCAGUUACAGUCCCCACCCCCUACCCCCCCCCCCCAUUCUCCCUGCUUUGUUCAGGCCUUUGGGGGCGGAAGAGACAUUCUGGAGUCUCAGAGUCUGUGUCAGAGUUAAAUAAAUUACAGUGCUGUGUUUCUA
rnacentral:lncRNA from 1 species